rnacentral:rRNA from 1 species
GACGAACGCUGGCGGCGUGCUUAACACAUGCAAGUCGAACGGUAAGGCCCUUCGGGGUACACGAGUGGCGAACGGGUGAGUAACACGUGGGUGAUCUGCCCUGCACUUCGGGAUAAGCCUGGGAAACUGGGUCUAAUACCGGAUAGGACCACUGCCUGCAUGGGUGGUGGUGGCAAGCUUUUGCGGUGUGGGAUGGGCCCGCGGCCUAUCAGCUUGUUGGUGGGGUGGUGGCCUACCAAGGCGACGACGGGUAGCCGGCCUGAGUGGGUGACCGGCCACACUGGGACUGAGAUACGGCCCAGACUCCUACGGGAGGCAGCAGUGGGGAAUAUUGCACAAUGGGCGCAAGCCUGAUGCAGCGACGCCGCGUGAGGGAUGACGGCCUUCGGGUUGUAAACCUCUUUCAGCACCGACGAAGCGCAAGUGACGGUAGGUGCAGAAGAGGGACCGGCCAACUACGUGCCAGCCGCCGCAGUAA